rnacentral:lncRNA from 1 species
UUUCUUAAAAGGUCGAGAACCAGAAGAGGAACCUCCCACUAAGUUCACCGACUCCUAAUGAAGUUAGUGAUCCUUCUCAAAGUUCUGAAGCAACCCCAGUAACCCGUGGUAGUUCUCUUCAGGCUUUGUCAUUCUAUAAUGAGUGAGGAAUGGGAGAUAAGACUUGGGCAGCGAGUUCAGUAUUGCAUCUUUUCCAAGCUGCUCAUGCAAGGGAAAGUCGAGCUUGCUCAAUCGUUCCAUCAGCUCGAUCAUGUACAAUACAUGAUCAGUGACAGAGGCACCAUCCCGCAUUUUGGCAUUGAAGAUGGCACAACUAGUCUUGUGCUCUCUACAUCAUCGGGUGUGCCAAAGGCAUCUUCCAACACUUGAAGCAUGUCCUUUGGCUGAGCCGUCUCGAAUCUGUGACUGAACUCGUCGCUCAUGGCAGCCAGCAUGAUACAGUGCACCGUGGUCCGGUCACUGAGCCACUUCUGGUAAGUGUCUCUGACUGUUCCACAUGCAUUGGCA